ACGAACGUUGGCGGCGUGGAUUAGGCAUGCAAGUCGAACGAAUCUCACUUGGGUAACUGAGUGGGGAAAGUGGCGAAAGGGGCAGUAAGGCAUGGAUAACUUGCCCCGGAGUCUGGAAUAGCCAUCCUAACGGAUGGGUAAUACUGGAUGUCGUGUCGAGGGGGCAUCUUCUUGACAGGAAAGUUUCGACGCUCCGGGAGAGGUUCAUGUGGUAUUAGCUAGUUGGUGAGGUAACGGCUCACCAAGGCCAAGAUGCCUAGCAGGUGUGAGAGCACGACCUGCGUCACUGGCACUGGGACACUGGCCAGACUCCUACGGGAGGCUGCAGUCGAGGAUCUUCGGCAAUGGGCGAAAGCCUGACCGAGCGACGCCGCGUGUGCGAUGAAGGCCUUCGGGUUGUAAAGCACUGUCGAGGGAGAGAAAAGCCGCAAGGUUUGAUCGAUCUCUGGAGGAAGCACGGGCUAAGUUCGUG
rnacentral:rRNA from 1 species